CUUUCUUUUUUCUUCUUCCAAUUACAGAGAACCAACAAAAGCAUCAGUCCACAUUUGACCUCAGCAUCAUCGUUGGACAUCUGGAAAACAAACAUGCAUCACCAGGAGCCCUUAAUAAUCCCCAGCUGCCCCCCCCCCCACCUAGAAGCAUAAAUAUAGGACUAAUGAGUCAUGGAGAUUACUGGACCCAUUCUGGCAACUGAAAAAUGUUGCAGUGCUCUCCAUUUUUUUUUACUUUUAAGGCCUAAGAAAUGUGGCAAGGAUGACCUGGCCUUUAGAGAUUGAAAAUUAAGCACAGUUGGUAACUUAACAGCACCCUGUGCUUUGUUCUUUCUGUGCCAUAGAAUUUAACUGGGUCCUAAACUAAACUAAACUAAACUAAACUAAAUGCAUGUGAUGCUUGAGAGUUUAAUCUGUAGGAAGUUGAGUAAAAACAUCUUUAUGGUGUUUGAACCUCUUAAUAUUUCCUGCACCAUCAAGCUCACCGGGUCCUGCAGCUAAACUAAAUGCACGUGAUGCUUGAUAGUUUAAUCUGAACGAAAUUGCAGUAAAAACUUCUUCAUGGUGUUUGAACUUCUAAAUUUUGCUGGACCAUCAACUUCUCUUGGUCCUUCAGCUAAACUAAAUGCAUGAGAUGCUUAUUAGUUUAUUCUUUAGGAAAUUCUACUUCCCACCUUCAUGGUACAAAGAUUUUAGUUCUGCUGGACCUUGGCUGCAGCUAAACAAAAUAAAGUAGGUAAUUCCCCCCUAUCCUAGUAGAAAUUGAAAUGAUGCAUGUAUCCGUCAUGCUCCACAAUGCAAGCAGCGAAGAAUGUGGAAGACACCUCGUUUGAUAUUUAUUCUCCAUCCAAGUCUUCAGGAUUAUGUGAGAAGAAAAUAACCCCCACGAGCAACAAAAUAAAAUCAGAUCUGCUGCCUAACUCACUGAUGAAAAGACAAAGUCUUCAUGCUUCAUAUGAGUCUGGUAUUGAGAGCAUCCAGUUUUGGUUGGUGUCCACUCUAACCGUUCCAAAUGGACAUGGAGAACUGUGAAGGGAAAGCAGCUGCACAUAGCAUCCCUGAUUCUCAAACACAACACCAUGGAUUUAACACACGAUGCCUUAAUUCCAAGAGCCUGAAAACAGAACACUUGUAUUUGCCAGCCAGGGGAACAGAACGUUUUUUAGAGUCUAACCAACCAACAACUUGUUUGAAACUUGUUUUAUGUAUGCUGUGUAUUUUAAAAAAAACAUGGUUUUAAUUUUUAACGUCUCUUUUGUAAGUCAUAAAGAAAUUAUGUUAUCGGGGAAUUACAUCCAUUCAGUGAAGACUGUCCACAAGAAAAGCUGCUAGGGGUGGGGGGGAACAGAGUGAUUUCAGUUGGGUGGUUUUCCAGAAAUGUGUCCAAUAAAUCAGAAAGUUAAGAGUUCA
rnacentral:lncRNA from 1 species